UACAGAGGGUGCAAGCGUUAAUCGGAUUUACUGGGCGUAAAGCGUGCGUAGGCGGCUCGCUAAGUCGGUUGUGAAAUCCCUGGGCUUAACCUGGGAACUGCAGUCGAUACUGGCGGACUAGAGUACGGUAGAGGGUGGCGGAACUCCGGGUGUAGCGGUGAAAUGCGUAGAUAUCCGGAAGAACACCGAUGGCGAAGGCAACCACCUGGGCCUGUACUGACGCUGAGGUACGAAAUCGUGGGGAGCAAACAGG
rnacentral:rRNA from 1 species